UGCCACUUCAUCGGGUGAACACCACACAGUCAUAAGACUCUUAAGCUGUAGUUGACAAACGGCUGCGCUAGUUUUAGUCAGUGGAAUAAAGGUUGAUUUGUCCCGUCAAAUUCCAUACAAUAAAAGAUAUCGUCUGUGUCCGAAGGAGCUUCUACAUCUGCUCCUGUCAGCGAAGGAGGGAGGGAUGGGUGCAGCGACGACCGAUCUCCAAGUUUCGAGGCAGAGGUUAACAAGAACGAUUCGCAGAUCGAUGUCGACCAAGCUGUCUUUCAAUCCACCCUCAAGCCCCACCGACGCCACCGCCAUCUAAACUUUCAGUUCCUCCUUUCACCUCGAAGAAGGAGCAGAAGAAGAAGAAGAGCAAUAAGAACACAGAGACGAAGAAGAACUGCAAGAAGUCAAAAAGAACGGGGAAGACGAGGACAGAGAGGACGAACACGAACACCAGAGGCCGGACGAAGAAGGGGAGAAGAAGCAAGAAAAGGAGGAGGAGGAGGAGGAGGAGGAGGUGGUGGUAGUGGUGGUGGUGGACAAGAUGAUCGUGAUCAGGGAAGUGCUGAACGUCGUGGCCAAGGCAAACGAGGAACAGGUCGCUCUUGUCAAGCCUGCUUGGCAACGCAAAAGUUUCAGAAAGUAUGUUUGCAACUGUCUCAAUUCCUCACGAUAUCACCGAAAUCCGCGCGGGACGACGUUGCUCCUUGGGCUAAACGAAGGGCAGGAAAGCCAUUUGAUUAUUUUGCGCUCUAAUUAAGCACGUUGAAUAUUGGCAGGCCUUGCUGACUGACUAAUAUCGGUAAGGUCUUCGAAGAUUGCGGCGACCAGGACCAAACACACUUUGAUCGCGGUUUGUAAGGGCAGCCCGUAUAAGACCGAGAUACAGUAACUCUACGGGUACUGCAGUGCUGUAUUAAGAAGCGUUUAAAACAAAAAAAACAAAUCUUUUCUCCCAGUCGAUCUCAGCACAUGCUCUGUUGGCACUACAGAUUCAAGAAUUCCUAAUUGAGACGGCAAAGUGCACCAAGUUGUACUUAUCUUUGGGAAGUAUUUCAAGCAUCUCAAAUUAGGCAAGUAAUCAGUUUGGUGAACUGCUUGGAUGGACUUGUCAGCCAGAAUUGAACGGCAUUGAACAUCAUGGAACUUCUCCAGGGCGUUAUGUUGUAUUGCAGGGAUUGGAACAUUGCCUUGUAUGUACUUCGUGUACUCGGUUUAUUCGUAAUAAGUAUGCAGCAAUUCCCUGGCCUUGACUGCAUAUUUCCAAGCUCAUGCAUUACGUCAAGCUCCAUGAAAGCUGUCAAAAUCCAAUGAAAAUAUCAUCCCCCAAGCCAUGACAAAUAUGUUCAUGCCUUUCCAAGACGCAAUUAAGAUUUUGAGUUCCGGAAAACAAGUCCCACUCCAAUUUCGUCCAGAAAGAAGGUUCUGAUGGACUUGUCACUGCAUAAACAUAACACACAUGAUACCUAAAGGCUCAGCCUUGCCUUGAUCAAGCCGAUUACAAGUGCUACUCUUUUCUUUAGCAAGGCACCUUUGUCUGAUUUAUCACAUCGACAACACUAGUACCACUCUCUCCCCCUUUCUUUCUCUGGCUUGGUGUGUGCUUAAUGAGAGACCAGGAUUUUCAAAGUCUCGUUUUGUUUAUACGAGCAGCACGCUCAUCAGGCGUUUCCAAUCGAAAAUGGUCUUCGCAUAUGUCGACGGCUGCCCCGGUAUUUCGCACCAUAGAUUCCCAACUUGCACGAACUAUUUAUGAGUACACUGUCGAUGGAGGCUUGGUGGUCCCAAGGAGCGAGUCUUUCCUCUUGAACUAGCUCGAAUAAUAACGUCGUGGACUUACUACUUGGCUGGUAUCUUUGGGAGGUGAAAAUCGUUGGUUGCAGACGAGGGGAAAAUUCGAGCGAGACGUCGUGUUAUCGGGCCUAGCAGCUCCCAGGCUUCUUAAUAACCACAUAUCAAAAGAGCAAAGCACAAAAAGCCAUCUUGUUGACAUUUAUGAUUCGAGCAAAUAAUUUCGCCUCGCUGUGGUUCUCAGAUCUCGGCUCUCAAUUCUUGAGAGUGGCUGGCUGGAAGCAAAGGAGAUGAGAAAGAAAAAGGGCCCCUUAGGCUAACCCAAGCCCCCCAACCUGACUCAAUCAACGACGACAGCAACAACAACAACAACUACAGCCAAGCAUCCACAACAACAGCACUAGCUCGCUGAAGGUCUUGUUCUGCGGCUCCCUCUCCUUCCCCACCUAUCAACCUGGCCAUAAGUUCAAGAAAAAAUGGUUCGUCGCUCUCCAAGAGUGAUGGUGUCACUAAAUCAUACAUUCGAUCAAAUGUUCGGCCCUUCAGUUGGAUCUAGUUGCAUUGUCAACCGACUCCUCCAAAAGGGAAGGGUUGAACUCUUCAACCGCCUCUCGACCAUAACAAGAUUCUUGUCAUCAAGAAAGGCGAAUGCUUUGACAAUAAACAGACUCACGAGGUGAAAUGAGGUGCAAAAUCCUGCCCUCGAGCCAUUCUGGACGGAUAUUUGAAUGCACAUAAACCCACCGUGGGCCUUCUCUAUGUCGUUGGGAAAGAGAAAGAGAGAGAGAGAGAGAAAAAAAAAGAUAGAUAGAGAUGGAGAGAGAGAGAGAGAG